GACGAACGCUGGCGGCGUGCUUAACACAUGCAAGUCGAACGGAAAGGCCCUGCUUUUGUGGGGUGCUCGAGUGGCGAACGGGUGAGUAACACGUGAGUAACCUGCCCUUGACUUUGGGAUAACUUCAGGAAACUGGGGCUAAUACCGGAUAGGAGCUCCUGCUGCAUGGUGGGGGUUGGAAAGUUUCGGCGGUUGGGGAUGGACUCGCGGCUUAUCAGCUUGUUGGUGGGGUAGUGGCUUACCAAGGCUUUGACGGGUAGCCGGCCUGAGAGGGUGAACGGCCACAUUGGGACUGAGAUACGGCCCAGACUCCUACGGGAGGCAGCAGGGGGGAAUAUUGCACAAUGGGCGGAAGCCUGAUGCAGAAACGCCGCGUGCGGGAUGACGGCCUUCGGGUUGUAAACCGCUUUCGCCUGUGACGAAGAGUGAGUGACGGUAAUGGGUAAAGAAGCACCGGCUAACUACGUG
rnacentral:rRNA from 1 species